rnacentral:rRNA from 1 species
UUGGGAAUCUUGCACAAUGGGGGAAACCCUGAUGCAGCGACGCCGCGUGGAGGACGAAGGAUCUAGGUCUGUAAACUCCUUUUGCCAGGAAAGACUUAGGACGGUACCUGGCGAAUAAGCUCCGGCUAACUACGUGCCAGCAGCCGCGGUAAUACGUAGGGAGCAAGCGUUGUCCGGAUUUACUGGGCGUAAAGGGCGCGUAGGCGGUCUGUUAAGUGUGAAGUGAAAUCUCCAGGGCUCAACCCGGAAACUGCUUUGCAAACUGGCAGACUAGAGGAAGGCAGAGGUGAAUGGAAUUCCUGGUGUAGCGGUGACAUGCAUUGAUAUCAGGAGGAACACCCGUGGCGAAGGCGGUUCACUGGGCCUUAUCUGACGCUGAGGCGCGAAAGCGUGGGUAGCAAACAGG